rnacentral:lncRNA from 1 species
GGCAGUGAUGAUAGCAUCUACUGAUGGAUGUUAGGUGAUAUGGCAUUUACUGAUGGAUGCCAAUGAAGAUUAAAAAGAAUAACAUUUACUGAUGAGUGCUACUAGGAUAAUAUCUACUGGGGAUGUUAGAAGAUAUAGAUAUCCACUGAAGGAUAUCCGGAAGGUACACCUACUGAUGGGUGGUGGAAGGUAGUGCACUUACUAACAAGUGCCAACCAGGUUUGGGUCAGGCUCGUGACGUUAAACAAGCGCUACUAGGAGGCAACCUAUAUUUCUUCUUACACUUUUGCAUUUUAAAUUCUUAGAAUAGGUUGAAUUUUUAUUUUUGGUGUCACUCUUGGCUUUACUACUUGUUCUGAAAAUGUUGGACUAACUGAUGUGCAUGAUGAAUCUAUUUGAUGAUUUUUG